UUAUACAUGCAAGUCGAACGAAGUAGCAAUACUUAGUGGCAGACGGGUGAGUAACAUGUGGGUAUCUUCCCUUUGGUGAGGAAUAACACGAGGAAACUUGUGCUAAUACCUCAUAAGUCUUUACAGAGAAAGCUUUAUGCGCCGAAGGAUGAGCCCGCACUUGAUUAGUUUGUUGGUGGGGUAAUGGCCUACCAAGACUUUGAUCUAUAGCUGAUCUGAGAGGAUGAUCAGCCACAUUGGGACUGAGACACGGCCCAAACUCCUACGGGAGGCAGCAGUAGGGAAUAUUGCACAAUGGAGGAAACUCUGAUGCAGCGAUGCCGCGUGAGUGAAGAAGGCCUUUGGGUUGUAAAGCUCUUUCGUCGGGGAAGAAAAUGACUGUACCCGAAUAAGAAGGUCCGGCUAACUUCGUGCCAGCAGCCGCGGUAAUACGAAGGGACCUAGCGUAGUUCGGAAUUACUGGGCUUAAAGAGUUCGUAGGUGGUUAAAAAAGUUGGUGGUGAAAUCCCAGAGCUUAACUCUGGAACUGCCAUCAAAACUUUUUAGCUAGAGUAUGAUAGAGGAAAGCAGAAUUUCUAGUGUAGAGGUGAAAUUCGUAGAUAUUAGAAAGAAUACCAAUUGCGAAGGCAGCUUUCUGGAUCAUUACUGACGCUGAGGAACGAAAGCAUGGGUAGCGAAGAGGAUUAGAUACCCUCGUAGUCCAUGCCGUAAACGAUGUGUGUUAGACGUUGGAAAUUUAUUUUCAGUGUCGCAGCGAAAGCAUUAAACACACCGCCUGGGGAG
rnacentral:rRNA from 1 species